rnacentral:rRNA from 1 species
UACGAAGGGUGCAAGCGUUACUCGGAAUUACUGGGCGUAAAGCGUGCGUAGGUGGUUUGUUAAGUCUGUUGUGAAAGCCCCGGGCUCAACCUGGGAAUGGCAAUGGAUACUGGCAAGCUAGAGUGCGGUAGAGGGUAGUGGAAUUCCCGGUGUAGCGGUGAAAUGCGUAGAGAUCGGGAGGAACACCAGUGGCGAAGGCGACUCUUUGGCCUAUAACUGACGCUGAGGCGCGAAAGCGUGGGGAGCAAACAGG